rnacentral:rRNA from 1 species
GACGAACGCUGGCGGCGUGCUUAACACAUGCAAGUCGAACGGCAACGCCCUGCUUUUGUGGGGUGCUCGAGUGGCGAACGGGUGAGUAACACGUGAGUAACCUGCCCUUGACUUUGGGAUAACUUCAGGAAACUGGGGCUAAUACCGUAUCGGAGCUCCUGCUGCAUGGUGGGGGUUGGAAAGUUUCGGCGGUUGGGGAUGGACGCGCGGCUUAUCAGCUUGUUGGUGGGGGAGUGGCUUACCAAGGCUUUGACGGGUAGCCGGCCUGGGAGGGUGACCGGCCACAAUGGGACUGAGAUACGGACCAGACUCGUACGGGAGGCAGCGGUGGGGAAUAUUGCACAAUGAGAGGAAGCCUGAUGCAGCAACGCCGCGUGCGGGAUGACGGCCUUCGGGUUGUAAACCGCUUUCGCCUGUGACGAAGCGUGAGUGACGGUAAUGGGUAAAGAAGCACCGGCUAACUACGUG